rnacentral:tRNA from 1 species
GCAAGCUGUAGCUCAAUGUUAGAGCGUUGGUCUUGUAAACCAAAGGUUGGAUUAAUAUAAUCCCACUUGCU